rnacentral:rRNA from 1 species
UACGUAGGGGCCUAGCGUUGUCCGGAUUUAUUGGGCGUAAAGAGCUCGUAGGCGGCUUGGUAAGUCAGGUGUGAAAUCUCCACGCUCAACGUGGAGGGGCCACCUGAUACUGCUAUGGCUUGAGUCCGGUAGGGGAGUGUGGAAUUCCCGGUGUAGCGGUGAAAUGCGCAGAUAUCGGGAGGAACACCCGUAGCGAAGGCGGCACUCUGGGCCGGUACUGACGCUGAGGAGCGAAAGCGUGGGGAGCAAACAGG